rnacentral:rRNA from 1 species
GACAGAGGCCUCAAGCGUUAGGCGGAAUCACUGGGCUUAAAGCGUGUGUAGGCGGAUCGUUAAGUGUCUUGUGAAAUCCCACGGCUCACCCGUGGAACGGCUGGGCAUACUGGCGAUCUUGGGCCAACUAGGGGCAACUGGAACAAGCGGUGGAGCGGUGAAAUGCGUAGAUGAAUCGCUUGGAACGCCAAAGGUGAAACAGGUUGCUGGGGUUGU